rnacentral:rRNA from 1 species
UACGGAAGGCAGCAGUGGGGAAUAUUGGACAAUGGGCGCAAGCCUGAUCCAGCCAUGCCGCGUGAGUGAUGAAGGUCUUAGGAUUGUAAAGCUCUUUCACCGAUGAAGAUAAUGACGGUAGUCGGAGAAGAAGCCCCGGCUAACUUCGUGCCAGCAGCCGCGGUAAUACGAAGGGGCUAGCGUUGUUCGGAAUUACUGGGCGUAAAGCGCACGUAGGCGGAUAUUUAAGUCAGGGGUGAAAUCCCGCAGCUCAACUGCGGAACUGCCUUUUGAUACUGGGUAUCUUGAGUAUGGAAGAGGUAAGUGGAAUUGCGAGUGUAGAGGUGAAAUUCGUAGAUAUUCGCAGGAACACCAGUGGCGAAGGCGGCUUACUGGUCCAUUACUGACGCUGAGGUGCGAAAGCGUGGGGAGCAAACAGGGAUUAGAUACC